AUGCUGCAGCUGAUGAUGGCGCUGGCCUUCUCGGCGGCGCCGCUGACGCUCUACGUGCCGCCCGUGCGCAGCCUCAGCCUCUUCGUGGAGGCCAUGGAGACGGUGUGCCGCGAGUGCGCGCCCUACUCCCAGGGCGCCGUCUCCCGCUUCCGCCUCGGCCUCUCCCGCAUCUUCGCCGGCCUCGCGCGCGCCCUGCGCUAA
rnacentral:rRNA from 1 species